UAAACAGUGCGUGAAACCGCUUGGAGGUAAACGGGUGUAGUCAAGCUGCAAGCCCCGAGGAUUCAACCGAUGAGUAUGGCGCGAGCCUGGGCACAUUGAGUGGUUGGAGAGGACCGUCAGAGGCGGACAAGACUUGCUCUCGUGGUAGGUCUUGGGCGAGGGCGUAAUUGUGACGUCGCGCGCUUCUCUUUCCAUGCUCAGCUUGUCGGUGCAUUUCUUCGGGGCGUCAGCCACGACCGUCGUUGCUGUCGGUCUGCUCUAGCUAAACCUGCUGAGCUGGGUCUUGUGCUCAUGUUCAGUAGGCUGGCAGGUAACCUGAUAAGUCUUCUGAUUUCUUGGGUGUAAUACGGCUGGCUAGAGUGGUACUUAUAACUGUGCAGUGCGGCGGAGAUUGCGGCCCGGUGUGGCGUGGCGUGCUAAAGUAUGUUGGCGCAGUUUAAGUUUGGCCGCUUGUUGCCGAUUCAGUUCGGCCUUGUGGUGGCUUGUCUGCGGUUUGAUGUACGGUGGCGUCCGCUCAUCCCAUGCGUGGUGCCUACAGUCUGUGGCGUCGUAGUGGUAGACGAUCCACCCGACCCGUCUUGAAACACGGACCAAGGAGUUUAACUCAUGCGCGAGUCAAUGGGCUAUAUUUUCUUACGAAACCCAAAGGCGCAAUGAAAGUAAAGGUUUUAGUGGUUCUCGGACUGCUUGACUGAGGUGAGAUCCUGCUGUUUCUCGAGCUAGCCACGACUAGGCACUAGAGCAGUGGGCGCAUCACCGGCCCGUCCCAUGGUGUAGCAUGCUCUCGGGUGUGCAGCAUCGGGGC
rnacentral:rRNA from 1 species